rnacentral:rRNA from 1 species
AACGCUAGCUACAGGCUUAACACAUGCAAGUCGAGGGGCAGCAUGAUUGAAGCUUGCUUCAAUUGAUGGCGACCGGCGCACGGGUGAGUAACGCGUAUCCAACCUGCCCUUUACUUCGGGAUAGCCUUUCGAAAGAAAGAUUAAUACCGGAUGGUUUCUUCUUUUCACAUGGGAAGUAGAAUAAAGAUUUAUCGGUAAAGGAUGGGGAUGCGUUCCAUUAGAUAGUAGGCGGGGUAACGGCCCACCUAGUCGACGAUGGAUAGGGGUUCUGAGAGGAAGGUCCCCCACAUUGGAACUGAGACACGGUCCAAACUCCAACGGGAGGCAGCAGUGAGGAAUAUUGGUCAAUGGGCGAGAGCCUGAACCAGCCAAGUAGCGUGAAGGAUGACUGCCCUAUGGGUUGUAAACUUCUUUUAUAUGGGAAUAAAAAAGGCCACGUGUGACCUAUUGUAUGUACCUUAUGAAUAAGCAUCGGCUAAUUCCGUGCCAGCAGCCGCGGUAAUACGGAAGAUGCGAGCGUUAUCCGGAUUUAUUGGGUUUAAAGGGAGCGUAGGCGGGCGAUUAAGUCAGCGGUAAAAUAGUGUGGCUCAACCAUACUCCGCCGUUGAUACUGGUUGCCUUGAGUGCACACAAGGAAGAUGGAAUUCGUGGUGUAGCGGUGAAAUGCUUAGAUAUCACGAAGAACUCCGAUUG